GCAUCGGUGGCUCAGUGGUAGAAUACUCGUCUACCACGGUCCGGGUUCGAUUCUCGGCCGAUGCA